CCCCUAGAUGUUCUGGGCCGCACGCGCGCUACACUGAACAGUUCAACAAGUCUUAACCUUGGCCGAUAGGUCUGGGUAAUCUUAGAACGCUGUUCGUGAUUGGGAUAGACCUUUGCAAUUAUGGGUCUUCAACGAGGAAUUCCUAGUAAACGCAAGUCAUCAGCUUGCAUUGAUUACGUCCCUGCCCUUUGUACACACCGCCCGUCGCACCUACCGAUUGAAUGGUCCGGUGAAAUCUCGGGACGGCGGCUUGGUCGCUUGCGUCCGACUGCUGAAACUUGAUUAAACCAUAUCAUUUAGAGGAAGGUGAAGUCGUAACA
rnacentral:rRNA from 1 species